rnacentral:rRNA from 1 species
UACAGAGGGGGCAAGCGUUGUUCGGAAUUACUGGGCGUAAAGGGCUCGUAGGCGGCCAACUAAGUCGGACGUGAAAUCCCCAGGCUCAACCUGGGAACUGCGUCCGAUACUGGAUGGCUUGAAUCCGGGAGAGGGAUGCAGAAUUCCAGGUGUAGCGGUGAAAUGCGUAGAUAUCUGGAGGAAUACCGGUGGCGAAGGCGGCAUCCUGGACCGACAUUGACGCUGAGGAGCGAAAAGCUAGGGGGAGCAAACGGGG